GUUUUUUGUUUUUCGUUUUUCGUUUUUCUAUGGUGUCUCCAUGUUUACUAAAAUUGACCGGUGUACGAACUGCGGAGUUAUGUACCAUAGCAACCAUUAGAUUGGUAUAUCAAUACAACUGUACAACAAUUAUUAUGAAAAUUUAUAAUUGGUGGCUCUCGGCUAACAGACUAUCAAUAUUAGAUUGCUGUUUUUCUUGAUUGAAGGGAAGGGGUUUGUAUUAUUUAUGGCCAACCAAAAAAGGGACUAUGAAA
rnacentral:misc_RNA from 1 species